rnacentral:rRNA from 8 species
UUCCAGCUCCAAUAGCGUAUAUUAAAGUUGUUGCGGUUAAAAAGCUCGUAGUCGAAUCUGUGUCCCGCGUCGCCGGUUCAUCGUCCGCGGUGUUAACUGGCGUUCCGCGGGACGUCCUGCCGGUGGGCUUAGCUCGCAAGGGCGGCCCAACUCAAUCCCGCCGCGGUGCUCUUCAUUGAGUGUCGAGGUGGGCCGGCACGUUUACUUUGAACAAAUUAGAGUGCUUAAAGCAGGCUAAAACUUCGCCUGAAUACUGUGUGCAUGGAAUAAUGGAAUAGGACCUCGGUUCUAUUUUGUUGGUUUUCGGAACCCCGAGGUAAUGAUUAAUAGGAACGGAUGG